GUGUGUGAACGUGUGUGUGUGAAGUGAGAGAAUAACUGAGAGAAUCACUAGAAAAUUAGCUCCCUGAUAGGAGCAGGCUUAGAGACAUGGAGGACAAAUAUAAUAGCAAGUUUCAACCACAAAGACGCUUUAACAGGUUAAAACAACAGUUUAAUGGAGUUUGUUUGGGUCCCGGAAAUAAUUGUCGAGUCACCAGAAAAAGGGAGACAAACAACAUUGAAAACAUAUCUAUACCCAAAAGCAGGGUCGCAGGGGGGCUGGUAUCUAUCUCCAGCAGUCAUUAAGUGAGAGGUGGGGAACACCCUGGACAGUUCGGCAGUUCACCACAGGGCAACACAGAAACAUAAAGGACAAACAACCAUGCACAAACACACCAAUACCUAAGGAAAACUUAGAGUGACCAAUUGACCUAACAGUCAUGUUUUUGGACUAUAUGUAAGGAAGCCAGAGGACAUGGAGGAAACAGACAAGCACAUGGGGAGUAAAUAAACAGUGUUAGUAGUGUGUAAAUCCACCUUGUUUCAUCAAAUACUUCAUAAAGAGCAGUGGCGGUUUCUGAUAUGUGUUGUAUGGCUUCCUGCCCAGGACAUUAUUGUCUACGGAGUAAGUGUCAAACAUCAGUCCUUGAGGGCAGGUGUCCUACAAGUUUUAGAUGCAGCUUUGCUUUACCACACCUGAAUUAAAUAAUUAGGUCAUUAGCAGAACUUGACUGCAUGCUGAAGAGGCAAAAAGCCAUUUGAUUCAGGUGUGUUGAACCAGGGACACAUCUUAAAGUUGCAGCACUGGAAUAUUUAUGGGUGCAGGUAUUUAAAAAAAUAAAACAAUAAUAAAGCUUAAAAGCUGAGCUUUCUUGUCCCAAUCUAAUCAAAUCCUAUAGCAAAUUAAUUUAUAAUACAUUGUAUGACUGGUAUGUUUGCUGUCAAGAGGAAAAGGGGAAUUUUACUCUCUUUGCCUAAAAAUUGACCAUCCAGAUUUGUUUUCGGACAGACACAAGCCUGUAGAAUUUCACUGACAGUUGAUGCAACAGACUAAAUCAAGUGUACAUUAGGUUGUUUAGGUGAGCUUAACUGUUAAAAUAAAAGUAUAUUUUAACUUUUAGACAUUAACAAAAUGAAAAGAAAAUGCAGAAUUAGUAUUUAAGCUAAACAGUGUGAACAGUUUAUACUAGUAUAUACACUUCUUAUCUACCACAUUUGAGCAAUUUAGGUUUUCUUUGGUCAGUCAAAUUAACUGAGAUUCAGGUGCAUGUUUUUGAUGGAAUGGUAUCAGAAAGUUGGUGCUACUUUUUACCACUGAUUACCUCUGAAAGGAAAAUGGAUGAGAGGUGCAGAAAGCAGAUGUCAGGGCAACAGACAUCAAACUAAAUAAGCAGACAGUCCCCAGAAUUAAAGCCGGCUUUCCCCCCUAAGACAAGGAAAAGUACAGAUGACCUGCUUAGGUUCAUAAUGAUAACAGUAGGAAUAAGAAUGAUUCCUGCAGUUGAGAGAGUCCGCAAUGCAUCUGCACACCUUCAAAUAACUUUAUUUUAUUCUAUCAUCAAGGUGUAGAUAGAAUGUUAAUGCUUUAUGAAAAACAAUUAUCUAAAAAUAAAUUUAACUCUAAUCUUGGGCUUAUUUUAUCAUUUCUUUUUGUAAUUUUCCUCUUGCCUUUUAGAACUUUUUGUGAUCUGGAUCAAAAAGAAAAGCCAUUAAAUUUGCUGGAUCAGGGACCCAGAUGCAGCCUAAAUCCAGCUGCUGGUGGAUCAUGUCAAAUCAUACCUUCUAUAUAUGUUUCAGACACCAUCACUCCAUCACAGGGAAUGUCCUUUCCUCUACUUUUGAGAAUGAAGCCGGCAGCCACACAUUUGGCAGCAACCUGAAGUUUGUCAGCUGCUGAGCCAUCAGCACUCCCAGAAGUGACUCUGGGAUCCGUGGGGGAAGCCUGACAUCGAGCGAAGCACCGCUGCACAGCCUC